AUUGAACGCUGGCGGUAGGCUUAACACAUGCAAGUCGUGCGAGAAAGUAUCUUCGGAUAUGAGUAGAGCGGCGGACGGGUGAGUAACGCGUAGGAAUCUACCUAGUAGAAGGGGAUAGCCCGGGGAAACUCGGAUUAAUACCGUAUACCUCCUUCGGGAGAAAGAAGGCCUCUCUUUGAAGCUUUCGCUAUUAGAUGAGCCUGCGUAAGAUUAGCUUGUUGGUGAGGUAAAGGCUCACCAAGGCGACGAUCUUUAGCGGGUCUGAGAGGACGAUCCGCCACAUUGGGACUGAGACACGGCCCAGACUCCUACGGGAGGCAGCAGUGGGGAAUAUUGGACAAUGGGCGCAAGCCUGAUCCAGCCAUACCGCGUGUGUGAAGAAGGCCCUAGGGUUGUAAAGCACUUUAAGUUGGGAAGAAAAGUUAUUGGUCAAUACCCAAUAACCGUGACAUUACCAUCAGAAUAAGGACCGGCUAAUUCCGUGCCAGCAGCCGCGGUAAUACGGAAGGUCCAAGCGUUAAUCGGAAUUACUGGGCGUAAAGCGCGCGUAGGUGGUUUAUUAAGUUGGAUGUGAAAUCCCCGGGCUCAACCUGGGAACUGCAUCCAAAACUGAUUCACUAGAGUACGAUAGAGGGAGGUAGAAUUCACAGUGUAGCGGUGGAAUGCGUAGAUAUUGUGAAGAAUACCAAUGGCGAAGGCAGCCUCCUGGAUCUGUACUGACACUGAGGUGCGAAAGCGUGGGUAGCGAACAGGAUUAGAUACCCUGGUAGUCCACGCCGUAAACGAUGUCAACUAGCUGUUGGAAAACUAUGUUUUUCAGUGGCGCAGCUAACGUAGUAAGUUGACCGCCUGGGGAGUACGGCCGCAAGGCUAAAACUCAAAUGAAUUGACGGGGACCCGCACAAGCGGUGGAGCAUGUGGUUUAAUUCGAUGCAACGCGAAAAACCUUACCUAUACUUGACAUACUUGGAAUGCUUUGUAAUGAAGCAGUGCCUUCGGGAGCCAAGAUACAGGUGCUGCAUGGCUGUCGUCAGCUCGUGUCGUGAGAUGUUCCGUUAAGUCGGAUAACGAGCGCAACCCUUACCCUUAUUUGCCAGCGAUUCGGUCGGGAACUAUAAGGGGACUGCCGGUGAUAAACCGGAGGAAGGUGAGGACGACGUCAAGUCAUCAUGGCCCUUACGUAUAGGGCUACACACGUGCUACAAUGGAGAAUACAGACGGACGCUAAGCCGCGAGGUGGUGCUAAUCCUAGAAAAUUCUUCGUAGUCCGGAUUGGAGUCUGCAACUCGAACUCCGUGAAAGUCGGAAUCGCUAGUAAUCGCGAAUCAGCAUGUCGCGGUAAAUACGUUUCUCGGGUCU
rnacentral:rRNA from 1 species